UACGUAGGGUCCGAGCGUUGUCCGGAAUUAUUGGGCGUAAAGGGCUCGUAGGCGGUCUGUUGCGUCGGGAGUGAAAACUUACAGCUUAACUGUGAGCGUGCUUUCGAUACGGGCAGACUUGAGGCAUUCAGGGGAGAACGGAAUUCCUGGUGUAGCGGUGAAAUGCGCAGAUAUCAGGAGGAACACCGGUGGCGAAGGCGGGUCUCUGGGCCAAAACUGACGCUGAGGAGCGAAAGCGUGGGGAGCGAACAGG
rnacentral:rRNA from 1 species